rnacentral:rRNA from 1 species
AUACGUAGGGUGCGAGCGUUGUCCGGAAUUACUGGGCGUAAAGAGCUCGUAGGUGGUUUGUCGCGUCGUCUGUGAAAUUCCGGGGCUUAACUCCGGGCGUGCAGGCGAUACGGGCAUAACUUGAGUACCGUAGGGGAGACUGGAAUUCCUGUUGUAGCGGUGAAAUGCGCAGAUAUCAGGAGGAACACCGGUGGCGAAGGCGGGUCUCUGGGCAGUAACUGACGCUGAGGAGCGAAAGCAUGGGUAGCGAACAGGAUUAGAUACCCUGGUAGUCCAUGCCGUAAACGGUGGGCGCUAGGUGUAGGGGUCUUCCACGACUUCUGUGCCGUAGCUAACGCAUUAAGCGCCCCGCCUGGGGAGUACGGCCGCAAGGCUAAAACUCAAAUGAAUUGACGGG